rnacentral:pre_miRNA from 1 species
UGUUAAAUAUUUUAUCUAUUUUUAUUGUUAAAAAUUGAGAUGGUUGAUGAAAUAAUAAAACAUCUAUAGAAACCUCACACUCAUGUACAAGAUCAAUUUUUAACAGUAAAAAUUGAUGGAACUUUAACA